rnacentral:rRNA from 1 species
CGCGCAGGCGGCCUGGUAAGUCAGAUGUGAAAGCCCGGGGCUUAACCCCGGAAGUGCAUUUGAUACUGUCAGGCUUGAGUAUGGGAGAGGGAAGUGGAAUUCCUGGUGUAGAGGUGAAAUUCGUAGAUAUCAGGAGGAACACCGGUGGCGAAGGCGACUUCCUGGACCAAUACUGACGCUGAGGCGCGAAGGCGUGGGGAGCAAACA